CCUACGGGUGGCAGCAGUGAGGAAUAUUGGUCAAUGGGCGGAAGCCUGAACCAGCCAAGUAGCGUGCAGGAUGAAGGCCCUACGGGUCGUAAACUUCUUUUGCACGGGGAUAACAUCCUCCACGUUUGGAGGUCUGCAUGUACCGUGCGAAUAAGGGCCGGCUAAUUCCGUGCCAGCAGCCGCGGUACUACGGAAGUCCCGAGCGUUAUCCGGUUUCAUUGGGCUUAAAGGGAGCGUAGGCGGGCGUUCAAGUCAGCUGUAAAAUCGCGCGGCUCAACCGUGCCCCGCAGUUGAAACUGGACGCCUUGAGUUCACUACAGGCAGGCGGAAUUCGUGGUGUAGCGGUGAAAUGCAUAGAUAUCACGAGGAACCCCGAUUGCGAAGGCAGCCUGCCGGGGUGCGACUGACGCUGAGGCUCGAAGGUGCGGGUAUCAAACAGGAUUAGAUACCCGAGUAGUC
rnacentral:rRNA from 1 species